GGGGAGGGAGACGGGGGGGCAGGGACACAAGGGAACACGCACUUGCUGUUGUGAUGUGAAGUUAUGCACAGAGCUCUCUAAACUUUCAGCCUGGUCGCCCUCGGGGCGCCAGCCAGCAAAUGGGAGAGAAGGGGUUUUGCUUCGGUGGAGAACUCAGCAAAAACACACAACAAAAGGAUUGAAAACUUUCCCCGGGAGGCUCCAGCCACUUUAGGUCAAGUCGUUCGGCUAAACAGCAGCGUUAAUGAAGGGCUGGCAACAGUUGCCACACCAGUUCUCAGUACAUAAUAACCUGCCUUUCAGAUCGAGGAGCAGUACCUCUUUACAAGGUGUUGGACAAGUAAGGGGAAGAUGAAGGGAUAAAGCUAGACCUCUGUGGCCCCUCUGCUCUCCCUAGAUUUUGAAGUGAAGUAUCUGUAUCCAUGAAAGACUUUGCAGACCUUUGCGUGGCUAGAAGGGCCUCCGACAGCCUGAAACUACAACAGAUACAAAGAGCACAAUAACAUUAUCUGACAGAGCAAAUUCUCAGGGAAAGCCAAACCAGACGACAAAGCGCAUCCCGCGGCGGCCGCACGAGGUGUUCGCGUCUCGGCGCAGCCCGUGACCUGGCGCGUCGCACGCGCAGGUGUCCGAGCAACUGCGGAAACUUUUUCUUUUCAUAAAUAAUUAUCACAUCUGUAGAUGGGGGCUUUUCGAGCUCGGCGGGAAGGUCGCUGCCGGGAUACGAGCACUCAGGCGCGUAGGUGGGAGUGGGGAUGCUGCGCGCCCCGCUGCGCGCCCCGUGGGGCUCCGCGUGCGUCAGGCGGGAGGUGGCGUCAGUGGCGGCGGGCGCGGAGCAGCGGAGGGGGGCAGC